GACAGAGGGUGCGACCGUUGCUCGGAAUUACUGGGCGUAAAGCGCGUGUAGGCGGGUGAUCAAGUCAGGUGUGAAAUCCCCAGGCUCAACCUGGGAACUGCACUUGAAACUGGUUGCCUUGAGUGUUGGAGAGGGAAGCGGAAUUCCUGGUGUAGAGGUGAAAUUCGUAGAUAUCAGGAGGAACACCGGUGGCGAAGGCGGCUUCCUGGACAAUUACUGACGCUGAGACGCGAAAGCGUGGGGAGCAAACAGG
rnacentral:rRNA from 1 species